GACGAACGCUGGCGGCGUGCUUAACACAUGCAAGUCGAACGGAAAGGCCCUGCUUUUGUUGGGUGCUCGAUUGGCGAACGGGUGAGUAACACGUGAGUAACCUGCCCUUGACUUUGUGAUAACUUCAGGAAACUGGGGCUAAUAUCGGAUAGGAGCUCCUGCUGCAUGGUGGGGGUUGGAAAGUUUCGGCGGUUGUGGAUGGACUCGCGGCUUAUCAGCUUGUUGGUGGGGUAGGUGCGUACCAAGGCUUUGACGGGUAGCCGGCCUGAGAGGGUGACCGGCCACCAUGGGACUGCGAUACGGCCCAGACUCCUACGGGAGGCAGCAGUGGGGAAUAUUGCACAAUGGGCGGAAGCCUGAUGCAGCAACGCCGCGUGCGGGAUGACGGCCUUCGGGUUGUAAACCGCUUUCGAAUGUGCCGAAGCGUGAGUGACGGUAAUGAGUAAAGAAGCACCGGCUAACUACGUG
rnacentral:rRNA from 1 species